rnacentral:rRNA from 1 species
UACGAGGGGUGCGAGCGUUAUCCAGAAUUAUUGGGCGUAAAGUGUUCGUAGGCGGUAUUUGCUGCUACUUGUUAAAGUUUUAAAGUUAUAUUUAAAAAUGCUUGUAGUACUCUUUUACUUGAGUUUAAUAAAGGAUAACAGAAUUUUGUAUAUAGAGGUAAAAUUCGAUGAAAUACAAAGGAAUGCCAGUGGCGAAAGCGGUUAUCUGGGUUAAUACUGACGUUGAGGAACGAAAGUGUAGGGAGCAAACAGG